rnacentral:rRNA from 1 species
AGUGAACGCUGGCGGUAGGCCUAACACAUGCAAGUCGAACGGCAGCACAGUAAGAGCUUGCUCUUACGGGUGGCGAGUGGCGGACGGGUGAGGAAUACAUCGGAAUCUACUUUUUCGUGGGGGAUAACGUAGGGAAACUUACGCUAAUACCGCAUACGACCUACGGGUGAAAGCAGGGGAUCUUCGGACCUUGCGCGAUUGAAUGAGCCGAUGUCGGAUUAGCUAGUUGGCGGGGGAAAGGCCCACCAAGGCGACGAUCCGUAGCUGGUCUGAGAGGAUGAUCAGCCACACUGGAAGUGAGACACGGUACAGACUCCUACGGGAGGCAGCAGUGGGGAAUAUUGGGCAAUGGGCGCAAGCCUGAUCCAGCCAUACCGAGUGGGUGAAGAAGGCCUUCGGGUUGUAAAGCCCUUUUGUUGGGAAAGAAAAGCAGCAGGUUAAUACCCCGCUGUUCUGACGGUACCCAAAGAAUAAGCACCGGCUAACUUCGUG